rnacentral:rRNA from 1 species
GAUGAACGCUGGUGGCGUGCCUAAUACAUGCAAGUCGAGCGAACAGACGAGGAGCUUGCUCCUCUGACGUUAGCGGCGGACGGGUGAGUAACACGUGGAUAACCUACUUAUAAGACUGGUAUCACUUCGGGAAUCCGGAGCUAAUACCGUAUAAUAUAUUGAACCGCAUGGUUCGAUGGUGAGAGACGGCUUUGCUGUCUCUUAUAGAUGGAUCCGCGCCGCAUUGGCUAGUUGGUAAGGUAACGGCUUACCAAGGCGACGAUGCGUAGCCGAGCUGAGGGGGUGAUCGGCCACACUGGAGCGGAGACACGGACCAGGCUACUACGGGAGGCAGCAGUAGGGAAUCUUCCGCAAUGGGCGAAAGCAUGACGGAGCAACGCCGCGUGAGUGAUGAAGGUCUUCGGAUCGUAAAACUCUGUUAUUAGGGAUGAACAAAUGUGUAAGUAACUAUGCACGUCUUGACGGUACCUAAUCAGAAAGCCACGGCUAACUACGUG